rnacentral:rRNA from 1 species
GGGGAAUAUUGCACAAUGGGGGAAACCCUGAUGCAGCAACGCCGCGUGAAGGAUGAAGGUUUUCGGAUUGUAAACUUCUUUGAUGAGGGACGAAAAAAAUGACGGUACCUCAAAAACAAGCCACGGCUAACUACGUGCCAGCAGCCGCGGUAAUACGUAGGUGGCAAGCGUUGUCCGGAUUUACUGGGUGUAAAGGGCGUGUAGGCGGGUUAUCAAGUCAGGUGUGAAAUACCACGGCUCAACCGUGGGGCUGCACCUGAAACUGGUGAUCUUGAGUGCUGGAGAGGAAAGCGGAAUUCCUAGUGUAGCGGUGAAAUGCGUAGAUAUUAGGAGGAACACCAGUGGCGAAGGCGGCUUUCUGGACAGUAACUGACGCUGAGGCGCGAAAGCGUGGGGAGCAAACA